ensembl:lncRNA
GGUGGACUGAAUUAGCCUUCAUCAUGAGGGAGGUCAGGAGGGCUGAGGGGGAACAAAAUGGUGGACUGGAAAAGCCUUCAUCAUGAGGGAGGUCAGGAGGGCUGAGGGGGAACAAAAUGGUGGACUAAAAAGCCUUCAUCAUGAGGGAGGUCAGGAGGGCUGAGGGGGAACAAAAUGGUGGACUGAAAAAGCCUUCAUCAUGAGGGAGGUCAGGAGGGCUGAGGGGGAACAAAAUGGUGGACUGAAUUAGCCUUCAUCAUGAGGGAGGUCAGGAGGGCUGAGGGGGAACAAAAUGGUGGACUGAAUUAGCCUUCAUCAUGAGGGAGGUCAGGAGGGCUGAGGGGGAACAAAAUGGUGGACUGAAAAAGCCUUCAUCAGUUGUUAUAAAGACUGACACUACAAGCUUCCUGUUGGUUGACAGACCCAUUGCUUCACCAAUGAAGUUUGUAUUAAAGGCUGUGUGUUCCAACUGGCUGCCUAUUCCCUAAAUAAUGCACUUCCUAUGGCUCUGGUCAAAAGUAGUGCACUAUAUAGGGAUUAGGGUGCCAGUUGGCUGAAAGCUCCAAGUAUGGGAAGCAUUGAUAAAGGGGGGGACAGGUCAGGGGUCUGGGAAGCAUUGGUAAAGGGGGGGGACAGGUCAGGGGUCUGGGAAGCAUUGGUAAAGGGGGGACAGGACAGGGGUCUGGGAAACAUUGGUAAAGGGGGGACAGGACAUGGGAAACAUUGAUAAAGGGGACAGGACAGGGGUCUGGGAAACAUUGGUAAAGGGGGGACAGGACAUGGGAAACACUGGUAAAAGGGGGGACAGGACAUGGGAAACACUGGUAAAGGGGGGACAGAACAUGGGAAACACUGGUAAAGGGGGGACAGGACAUGGGAAACACUGGUAAAGGGGAGGACAGGACAUGGGAAACACUGGUAAAGGGGAGACAGGACAUGGGAAACACUGGUAAAGGGGGGACAGGACAUGGGAAACACUGGUAAAGGGGGGCCAGGACAUGGGAAACAUCUGUAAAGGGGGACAGGACAUGGGAAACACUGGUAAAGGGGGGACAGGACAUGGGAAACACUGGUAAAGGGGGACUUGGGGUCUGGGAAACACUGGUAAAGGGGGGAUAGGACAGGGGUCUGGGAAACACUGGUAAAGGGCAGGACUUGGGAUCUGGGAAACACUGGUAAAGGGGGGACAGGGGUCUGGGAAACAUUGGUAAAGGGGGACAGGACAUGGGAAACAUUGAUAAUGGGGGGACAGGACAGGGGUCUGGGAAACACUGGUAAAGGGGGGACUUGGCGUCUGGGAAACACUGGUAAAGGGGGGACUUGGGGUCUGGGAAACACUGGUAAAGGGGAGGACUUGGGGUCUGGGAAACACUGGUAAAGGGGAGGACUUGGGGUCUGGGAAACACUGGUAAAGGGGAGGACUUGGAGUCUGGGAAACACUGGUAAAGGGGGGACUUGGGGUCUGGGAAACACUGGUAAAGGAGAGGACUUGGGAAACAUUGGUAAAUGGGAGGACUUGGGGUCUGGGAAACACUGGUAAAGGGGAGGACUUGGGGUCUGGGAAACACUGGUAAAUGGGAGGACUUGGAGUCUGGGAAACAUUGGUAAAUGGGAGGACUUGGGGUCUGGGAAACACUGGUAAAGGAGAGGACUUGGGAAACAUUGGUAAAUGGGAGGACUUGGGGUCUGGGAAACACUGGUAAAGGGGAGGACUUGGGAAACAUUGGUAAAUGGGAGGACUUGGGGUCUGGGAAACAUUGGUAAAUGGGAGGACUUGGGGUCUGGGAAACAUUGGUAAAUGGGAGGACUUGGGGUCUGGGAAACACUGGUAAAGGGGAGGACUUGGGAAACACUGGUAAAGGGGAGGACUUGGGAAACAUUGGUAAAUGGGAGGACUUGGGGUCUGGGAAACAUUGGUAAAAACUUGG